rnacentral:rRNA from 1 species
AAACUCAAAUGAAUUGACGGGGACCCGCACAAGUAGCGGAGCAUGUGGUUUAAUUCGAAGCAACGCGAAGAACCUUACCUAAGCUUGACAUCCUUUUGACCGAUGCCUAAUCGCAUCUUUCCCUUCGGGGACAGAAGUGACAGGUGGUGCAUGGUUGUCGUCAGCUCGUGUCGUGAGAUGUUGGGUUAAGUCCCGCAACGAGCGCAACCCUUGCCUUUAGUUGCCAGCAUUAAGUUGGGCACUCUAGAGGGACUGCCAGGGAUAACCUGGAGGAAGGUGGGGAUGACGUCAAAUCAUCAUGCCCCUUAUGCUUAGGGCUACACACGUGCUACAAUGGGUGGUACAGAGGGCAGCCAAGUCGUGAGGCGGAGCUAAUCCCUUAAAGCCAUUCUCAGUUCGGAUUGUAGGCUGAAACUCGCCUACAUGAAGCUGGAGUUACUAGUAAUCGCAGAUCAGAAUGCUGCGGUGAAUGCGUUCCCGGGUCUUGUACACACCGCCCGUCACACCACGGGAGUUGGGGGCGCCCGAAGCCGGAUUGCUAACCUUUUGGAAGCGUCCGUCGAAGGUGAAAUCAAUAACUGGGGUGAAGUCGUAACAAGGUAGCCGUAUCGGAAGGUGCGGCUGGAUCACCUCCUUUAUG